rnacentral:rRNA from 1 species
UACAGAGGUGGCAAGCGUUGUUCGGAAUUACUGGGCGUAAAGGGCGCGUAGGCGGUCAGGUCAGUCCCGUGUGAAAUCCCUCGGCUCAACCGAGGAACUGCACGGGAAACUGCCUGGCUUGAGUUCGGGAGAGGGAAGCGGAAUUCCGGGUGUAGCGGUGAAAUGCGUAGAUAUCCGGAGGAACACCGGUGGCGAAGGCGGCUUCCUGGACCGACACUGACGCUGAGGCGCGAAAGCUAGGGGAGCAAACGGG